GUCGGCGUAGCUCAGUCGGUAGAGCACAGGACUCAUAAGCCUGGGGUCGGAGGUUCGAUCCCUCCCGCCGACACAA
rnacentral:tRNA from 1 species